ACUUUACAAUGCAGGCAACUGUGAUAAGGGAACCCCGAGUGCCCGUAUGGACGGGCUGUUCAGGUGCUUAAAAACCACCUGGAGAAAGGGCCGGGCAAGACCGGUGCCAGCCGCCGCGGUAAUACCGGCGGCUCGAGUGGUGGCCACUAUUACUGGGCCUAAAGCGUCCGUAGCUUGGUCGUUAAGCCUCUGGGGAAAUCUUCCGGCUCAACCGGCAGGCGUCUAGGGGGAACUGUCUGGCUCGAGACCGGGAGAGGUGAGAGGUACUUCAGGGGUAGGAGUGAAAUCCUGCAAUCCUCGAGGGACCACCAGUGGCGAAGGCGUCUCACCAGAACGGACCUGACGGCAAGGGACGAAAGCUAGGGGCACGAACCGG
rnacentral:rRNA from 1 species